AAGCAUUUUGCAUCUCCCAUUGAUCACAUCCUUGACUUCUUUUACUAUGUAUGGUUGAUCUAGCUAAAGUUCAAGGAGCACUGGGAGAUAACGAUCCAGGCAUAUCUCAGUGCAGUUAUCUACCUUUAUGCUGAUGACUUUAAGCAAGCUGAGAAGUGCUAUAAUGACUGCUCUCAAUUUCUAAUGAAGAGGUUAAGCAUGUUAAGCAUGGAUGAAGUGUAAAACUGCACCAGAAAUUGUAAUUUCAAUCAUUUAUCUCAAUUUUUACCCUUAAGUUGUUUUUGUAUGAAUGUAUAUUACAUUUUAAUUGUGU